CUGAAGUUUGGAUCUAAAUUUUGGAUCUAAACACAGCCUUAUAUGAAUUUUUUUUUGUAAUUAGUAUUUUCAUUGUUGUUAGAUGAUAAAAUAAGAUUAAUACUUUAUGCGUGACUUAUCUUUUUAAUUUUUUUCAUAAUUUUUUUAAAUAAGACGGACAUUCAAACGUUAGACACGGAAAUC
rnacentral:pre_miRNA from 1 species